UACAGAGGGUGCGAGCGUUGUUCGGAAUUAUUGGGCGUAAAGGGCGCGUAGGCGGCGCGGUAAGUCACCUGUGAAAUCUCCUGGCUCAACUGGGAGCUUGCAGGCGAAACUGCCGUGCUGGAGUGUGGGAGAGGUGCGUGGAAUUCCUGGUGUAGCGGUGAAAUGCGUAGAUAUCAGGAGGAACACCGGUGGCGAAGGCGGCAUCCUGGACCAUUACUGACGCUGAGUGAGCGAAAGCCAGGGGAGCAAACGGG
rnacentral:rRNA from 1 species